AAGUCUAAGCUCAAAUCAUAAAAUGAUGAAGCCGCGGAAAGCUCAUUACAACAGCCAUUGUUCACUUGAUCUUGAAAAUCCUACUUGGAUAACUGUGGUAAUUCUAGAGCUAAUACAUGCAACAAUGCUCAGGUAGUUCCUUCGGGGACGACGAGCGCAAUUAUUAGAACAAAACCAAUCGGGCCUCGGCCUGUCGGUUUGGUGGAUCUGAAUAACUAUAGCUGAUCGCACAGUCUUUGCACUGGCGACAUAUCUUUCAAGUGUCUGUCCUAUCAGCUGUCGAUGGUAUUCUAUACGAUUACCAUGGCUGUAACGGGUAACGGAGAAUAAGGGUUCGACUCCGGAGAGGGAGCCUGAGAAACGGCUACCACAUCCAAGGAA
rnacentral:rRNA from 1 species